AAGAAUGUCGAGUUGUAGCUUUUGGAAGCACUAUAGAGUGACUAAUCGUGGGUAAAAGUUCCUUUGAAUAAGACAUCAAAGAGGGUGAAAAUCCCGUAUUUGACCUUGAAAUGCAAUUAGUCGCGAUAUCAAGUGUUUUCUUUGAGUCGGGUUGUUUGGGAAUGCAGCCCUAAUUGGGAGGUAAAUUUCUUCCAAAGCUAAAUAUCAGCAAGAGACCGAUAGCAUACAAGUACCGUGAGGGAAAGAUGAAAAGCACUUUGAAAAGAGAGUGAAAAGUACGUGAAAUUGUUGAAAGGGAACCGGUUGGUGGCCAAGCUUUUUUCUUUUCCUUUUUGUCAUUUCGGUGGCAAGGAGGGGAGGGAAGGGUCAACAUCGGUUGUUCGCAGCUAGAAAGGAAGAUUUGUUGGUUAUUCAGGGGAAGGUAGAAGACGUUUUAGGUAUUUUAUAUCUAGAAUAUCUUUUUUAUAGCCCUUGCUAAAUCGACUUUAAAGCCUCAUAGUUGCAGCGACCGAGGAAUGCAGUGUGUUUAGUGACUUGAUUUGGGAAUGUAUCGUGGCUACUUUUUCUCUAGACAGCUUUGCUGACUAGUCUUGGGUGGCUAUGUACAAGUUUCAUAUCGGGAUUAAGAAACACUUUGGAUGUUGACGAAAAGGCACCAAUCGACCCGUCUUGAAACACGGACCAAGGAGUCCAACAUGCAUGCGAGUAUUUGGGAGUUAUAAACCCAUGUGCGUAAUGAAAGUGACAACUUUUAUAGAAUGUGACCCCGGAUUUAUUUCUGGGGGCAACAUCAACCGACUUUAGAUAGCGCUGCUUGAAAAGGUUGAGUAAGAGCAUGUAUGCUGGGACCCGAAAGAUGGUGAACUAUGCCUGAAUAGGGUGAAGUCAGAGGAAACUCUGAUGGAAGCUCGUAGUGAUUCUGACGUGCAAAUCGAUCACAGAAUUUGGGUAUAGGGGCGAAAGACUAAUCGAACCAUCUAGUAGCUGGUUCCUGCCGAAGUUUCCCUCAGGAUAGCAGAGAUUGAUUUAAAGCAGUUUUAUGAGGUAAAGCGAAUGAUUAGAGGCCUUGGGGAUGUAACAUCCUUAACCUAUUCUCAAACUUUAAAUGCGUAAGAUGCCCUAGUUACUUGAUUGAACUAGUGGCCUUUUCGAAUGCAUCAAUCUCUAGUGGGCCAUUUUUGGUAAGCAGAACUGGCGAUGCGGGAUGAACCGAACGUAGAGUUAAGGUGCCUAAAUGCACGCUCAUGUAGACACCAUAAAAGGUGUUAGUUCAUCUAGACAGCAGGGCGGUGGCCAUGGAAGUCGGAAUCCGCUAAGGAGUGUGUAACAACUCACCUGCCGAAUGAACUAGCCCUGAAAAUGGAUGGCGCUCAAGCGUGCUACCGAUACUCUACCGCCAAAAUUAUUUGUUUAAUAAUGUUUUGGCGAGUAGGCAGGCGUGGGGGUUAGUAUAGAAGCUGUGGGCGUGAGCUCCAGUGGAACAACC
rnacentral:rRNA from 1 species